rnacentral:tRNA from 1 species
AAGGGCUUAGCUUAAUUAAAGUAGUUGAUUUGCGUUCAUUUGAUGUAAGAUAAAAUCUUGCAGCCCUUA